GGGGGUGCCCCAACAAUUCUUUUGCAAAGUUAUACAUAACCAUACCCAUUUUCCUUCUUUGUUCUUUCUUUCUUUUUUUCGGUUUGUCAAGAUUUCUGAUAGGUCUAACCCCACCCCCUAACUUUCGAUUAGCUUCCUACGCCACUGUUAAGAUAUUAUACAAGAUAAGAGUAAUUAAUAAUAAAGCAGGGGUAAUCAAAAGUGCUUGAAGUUGGUUUUAUAAAGAUACAUGUAAUUUGCCAGUUUUCCUAUUUGUUGAUCAAUUAAAUGAUAUGCAUCACUA
rnacentral:sRNA from 1 species